UUCUAUGACUAGUCAAUAAUUGAGUGAU
rnacentral:sRNA from 1 species